rnacentral:lncRNA from 1 species
CAUGGCCCGGCCGCACCCUCCGGCAGCGUCACCUCUAGUCCCACACCAGCCCUGUCAGGAGCGUCCCCAUGGGCCCCAGUUUACAGAGGAGCACACUGAGGCCAGAGGGGACAGCGACGGCCAGGGCUCAGAGGUGGUCAGGGGCGUCGUAGCUGGUGUUCAAGUUCAGCUCUGCUCCCGGCGAGGGGACCUGCCUCGGGCUCAGGUUUCUCUGCUCCAAAGCCAGCGUCCUGACAGUGGGACAAGUCAUGGAAGGGAAUGCAGACGUCACACAGGCCAAGGGGACAGCCGUCCCAACUGGGGUCCUGAACGCCCUGGGCACGGCAGGGGGCUGAGAGGAGCCACCGGAGGGCCCAGGUUCAAGUCCCACCUCCUCCACCUGAGGGCUACCUACAGCCUCGGAACCCGGGGCUGGAGGGACAGCUCGAGAUCCAGGGAAGCGUCACCUGUGUCACUGCUGUGGCAGUGGUGAAUGUCCGGCUGAUGGACAGCUCACGGGCACUUUCGCUGCCUCCUGGGCUUCCACGCACCCUCCGUGGCGGGUGCUGCCCCCACGCCCUUUCUACAGGUGACAAAAACCACCAGGGGAAGAGGCAAGGGACUUGCCCAAGGUCACAGGUGGACUGCGC